CCAGGGUGUCCCCAGGGGUCACCAGGGUGUCCCCAGUGUCACCAGGGUGUCCCCAGUGUGCCCAGGGUGUCACCAGGGUGUCUACAGUGUCCCCAGGGUGUUCCCAGGGUGUCCCCAGUGUGUCCCCAGGGUGUCCCC